rnacentral:lncRNA from 1 species
UCUCUGCCGUAUGAAGAAAGCACAUGGGAGCUAGAGGAAGAUGUGGAUCCUGCAAAAGUGAAAGAAUUUGAAUCUCUACAAAUUCUCCCUGAAGUUAAGCCUGAACGACCUGCCUCUGAUGCAUGGCAGAAACUGGAGACCUCUCGUGAGUAUAAGAACAGUAACCGGCUGCGGGAGUACCAGCUCGAGGGCAUGAACUGGCUGCUUUUCAACUGGUACAACAGGUGAGGUUCCUGAGCCAGCUGGUGCUCUCACACUGCAGCUGUCUUUUUGCCUUGACCUGAGAUACGCUGAAGCUUAGAAGAGUAGUGGAGCCCAGUAUCACUGCCCAGUUUGGAAUCGUUCCCAAACAACAAAAAG